CACCUGAUUGACGAUGGAUCACCAGUGAGUGGCGGACGGGUGAGUAACACGUAGGUAACCUGCCCCGGAGCGGGGGAUAACAUUUGGAAACAGAUGCUAAUACCGCAUAACAACAAAAGCCACAUGGCUUUUGUUUGAAAGAUGGCUUUGGCUAUCACUCUGGGAUGGACCUGCGGUGCAUUAGCUAGUUGGUAAGGUAACGGCUUACCAAGGCGAUGAUGCAUAGCCGAGUUGAGAGACUGAUCGGCCACAAUGGAACUGAGACACGGUCCAUACUCCUACGGGAGGCAGCAGUAGGGAAUCUUCCACAAUGGGCGCAAGCCUGAUGGAGCAACACCGCGUGAGUGAAGAAGGGUUUCGGCUCGUAAAGCUCUGUUGUUGGAGAAGAACGUGCGUGAGAGUAACUGUUCACGCAGUGACGGUAUCCAACCAGAAAGUCACGGCUAACUACGUGCCAGCAGCCGCGGUAAUACGUAGGUGGCAAGCGUUAUCCGGAUUUAUUGGGCGUAAAGCGAGCGCAGGCGGUUGCUUAGGUCUGAUGUGAAAGCCUUCGGCUUAACCGAAGAAGUGCAUCGGAAACCGGGCGACUUGAGUGCAGAAGAGGACAGUGGAACUCCAUGUGUAGCGGUGGAAUGCGUAGAUAUAUGGAAGAACACCAGUGGCGAAGGC
rnacentral:rRNA from 1 species